rnacentral:rRNA from 1 species
GACGAACGCUGGCGGCGUGCCUAAUACAUGCAAGUUGAGCGCUGAAGGUUGGUACUUGUACCAACUGGAUGAGCAGCGAACGGGUGAGUAACGCGUGGGGAAUCUGCCUUUGAGCGGGGGACAACAUUUGGAAACGAAUGCUAAUACCGCAUAAAAACUUUAAACACAAGUUUUAAGUUUGAAAGAUGCAAUUGCAUCACUCAAAGAUGAUCCCGCGUUGUAUUAGCUAGUUGGUGAGGUAAAGGCUCACCAAGGCGAUGAUACAUAGCCGACCUGAGAGGUUGAUCGGCCACAUUUGGACUGAGACACGGCCCAAACUCCUACGGGAGGCAGCAGUAGGGAAUCUUCGGCAAUGGACGAAAGUCUGACCGAGCAACGCCGAGUGAGUGAAGAAGGUUUUCGGAUCGUAAAACUCUGUUGGUAGAGAAGAACGUUGGUGAGAGUGGAAAGCUCAUCAAGUGACGGUAACUACCCAGAAAGGGACGGCUAACUACGUG